GUUAUUGUUGGUUAUUAUUAUCCAGGCUAAUAGAACCAAGUGGGCAGAAUGGGUUAUUGUUGUUUAUUAUUAUCCAGGCUAAUAGAACCAAGUGGACAGAAUGGGUUAUUGUUGGUUAUUAUUAUCCAGGCUAAUAGAACCAAGUGGACAGAAUGGGUUAUUGUUGUUUAUUAUUAUCCAGGCUAUUAGAACCAAGUGGACAGAAUGGGUUAUUGUUGGUUAUUAUUAUCCAGGCUAAUAGAACCAAGUGGACAGAAUGGGUUAUUGUUGUUUAUUAUUAUCCAGGCUAUUAGAACCAAGUGGACAGAAUGGGUUAUUGUUGGUUAUUAUUAUCCAGGCUAUUAGAACCAAGUGGACAGAAUGGGUUAUUGUUGGUUAUUAUUAUCCAGGCUAAUAGAACCAAGUGGGCAGAAUGGGUUAUUAUUGUUUAUUAUUAUCCAGGCUAUUAGAACCAAGUGGACAGAAUGGGUUAUUGUUGUUUAUUAUUAUCCAGGCUAUUAGAACCAAGUGGACAGAAUGGGUUAUUGUUGUUUAUUAUUAUCCAGGCUAUUAGAACCAAGUGGACAGAAUGGGUUAUUGUUGGUUAUUAUUAUCCAGGCUAAUAGAACCAAGUGGACAGAAUGGGUUAUUGUUGUUUAUUAUUAUCCAGGCUAUUAGAACCAAGUGGACAGAAUGG
rnacentral:lncRNA from 1 species